ACAUUCCUACCUCUUUCUUUCCUAGACUACUGAAUGCUGGAGGUGUUUGUCAGAUGAAUUGCCCAAAGAACCUCAGAACUGGUGCUGUAAUUUGUGUAAUAUUCUGAUCAUGGUGAUCUUUACUUGUGAGCAAAGGAGUUCUAAAUCCACCUCCAGGAUGAUCAGCACAAUGUCGUGACGCUGGAGUUCUGUGUGCCCUGGAGAUGCGAG